rnacentral:lncRNA from 1 species
ACUCUGCUUUUCCUUUCUUCCUUUCACAGUGCUCCCGGGAUGGAGGGCCUGACGCUUGCGAGGCUGAUCUUCUCAUUAUAGCAUGCAGAUGAAAUGUCAUCCGCUAUCGGCUGUGAUAUAGAUCCACAAGAGAGAUAUAUAGAUUUGCGUGGUGCCAGUAACACACAAAUUGGCUUUCUAAAGCCUCUAGUAUUUGAAAUACUCUUUCACGAAUAUAACCAACUCAAAACAGCAUCUAAAAUAUUUUAAAAUUAAUUUUAGUUUAUAUCUUGCAUUUACAGAAAAGAAAAGCCAGGAUUUGCAGUAGCAAUUAAUACUGUGAAUUAUCUGGUUCCCCUUCUCAGUUACAUGUACCCAAACAUGCUCCCGUGUGGCUGUCCACAGCUUUGUCCCACUGUUGGGGUUUUGUGCACUCCCAGGAAGGGACCUUCUGUUCAUUGAUUGGCAUGAGUAGAGUCCAUUAAAGAAGUCUAGAUCUCAAGGAACACGAGGAAGACACCAGUGAGGCAUUCCCAGCCCUAAGUGGGGCAAACGAGAAGGGAGGCUUAACAGAAAUCAAUGCUCUGGCUGGGGAGCACAGGGGGGCCAUCUGUGCCUUUUGCAGAGGGCUCGUGCCUCCAUCAGAAUCCCUUCACCUUUCCGCCCUGUCCCGAGGCCUGCACACUCAGCUUGUGUAAGAGCAGGAGCUCAUUACCAAGGGGAUUAAAUCAGCUGCUUAAAAACAAAAACCCCUCUCCAUUCUGAUAAAGCAACAUUAAAGGUGCUUCAGUACACAGGAGCUUAGAAACUCAGAGUGUGGGCCCAGCCCUGGCCGGGACCUGGCCCUCAGUGACUCAGCUUUAGCACCAGCAAUGAGAUCCAGAGCAUCAGCCACUGAACCCACAGUCCCUGCAGGAGUCCGGAGAGGGUCACCCUGUUUCAUAGAUGGAAAAGCAAGUCAACAGAGCAGCGGGGGUCCGAGUCUCGGCAAUGCCCCAGAGGCGGUUCUUUCCACUCAAAGGGCCACGUCUUCCCUGGAAUAAGAGGCUGUUUCAGGGUCUGAGUGAGGAUGAGGCCACAGCCUGCUUUCCCAGGGAACACCCCGCUGCCAGCCUUCAGCCCUGCCUGCUGCCAGCCUCAGAUGGUGUGACCUGGCGUUGAGUGGGCAGGCCAGCAACGCAGUCUGAGGUCAAGCACUGAGUCUGCUCCCAGUGAAGGAGGGCAGAGCCCCCUGCUCCCCGGCAGCCAGCACAGGAAGUCCCUACUCACUUCCACUAUCUGCCCCCAAGUUCUGCAGAGGGCCACGUAUGCAUGGUGGCUGGCUUUCCUUUCUUUAAAGGAAAGUGCCCUUUUAUUAAUGGAUGUACGUGUUUAUAAUGAACCGGGAUCCAUCUGCCUAGAGUGCAGCACUACCUGUUACCAGUUACACAUCUAUCUAAACAUUGUUCAUAUAAUUCAAUACACGUAAGGGCGACCUGGGUCCAAGCCAUUCUCCUAGAUCUUAAAGCGUCCCCUCUGCAGUGGAUGUGGCAGAGCUGCUCGGGGCUCUGAGCAGAGCAUGCAGCAUGGGAAGGGACACCGAGAGACAGGGAUGCAGGGCUGGAUGACCAGGCCAGAGGUGGAGAUGUCAGUGAGUAUGGCAAAGCCUGGUGUGUGGCACAGUUAAAGGAGAGUGUUAAGGUCGAGAGGACUAGAUUUCCCACUUGCCAAUGUCUUAUUCCUAUUGGCAAAAUGUGCAGUGCGCUGGCACACACCAGUACCAUCAGGGGGGAAACACGUCCAGCAGACACAGGGAGGCCAGGACCUCACACGUCAGCCCAGGCCUGACAGACCCCUGCUGGACAUGCAGCUCAGCAGCAUCAGUGGCCAGCGUUGCUGAGUGUGUUUUGUGACUGCCACACACUGGCCUUGCCUUGUCCAGCUUCACCAUGGGACAUUCUGUUGAGGUACAGGUCAGAUAACUCGAUCACGAAACAGAGCUGAUUCCAAAGAUGUGACCACAGCCUGUCUGUUCUGUGCCCUCCAGACACAGAGCAAAGAUUCACACACAGGAAGCGGGACCAUAGUGACCAUGAUGAGCUGCCGGUGCUCCUGGGCUCGCCCUUCUCCUGGAAAGCUGGUCUGGCCGGGAAGCACAACACCACCCAGGGUCUCAGACUCUGGGGUUCACUUCUGCUGCAUAUUUCAACUCCCAGGUGUCCCGGGGCUGUUUUCUUCCUUCUUGGCUCCGACAGAGCGUGAUGGGCAGACCCCGUGGCGUCACUCCACCACCCCCUCUGAGGUUGAGCACAGGGGAGGACUGACCUUGGGGUCAGAGCAGAGAGGAGCCCUCCCAGCCUACCCCAAGGCUGUCAUGCCCUUGACCCCGGCAGGGAGGAGGAACCCUGUGCUGUGGGUUGUGACUUCAUGGAAACACUGGACGGCACAAGUGAAUCUUAAUGUCCCCUAGUGCAGCUGCUCUAGGGCUCCGCGUUCUGACGCCCAACACUGAGCAGAGACGUGGGCACUUGGACCCAUGGCUAGUCCUGCUUCAGCCCAAGCUGUUCAUCUGAAGUAGGUGGACAGACCCCCUCUGCCCAUGAGGACGGCCACCUGACUUCUUUCUUUUUUUUCUUUUCUGUACUGGGGAUUGAACCCAGGUGCUCCCCACUGAGUUAGACCCCCAUCCUUUUUAUUUUUAUUAUGAGGCAGGGCCUUGCUAAGUUGCUGUGGCUGGCCCAGCCCUUGUGCCCCUCCUGCCUAGGCUCCCGAGUCACUGGCGUCUCAGGCCAGCUUUCGUGGUCACUUCGGUCAUCAGCAGUAGUGUCCGCUGCCCCUGUGCUCCUCAAAGUGGCUCCUGCUCCCCUGGGUCCUGGAAGCUGAGCUGAGUAUUGUCCUUGAAUCGCAGACCAAGGGGUGGGGCUGCUCGUAGGGCUCUGGAAGGAAGAGAAAAACACGCUUCUGCAGCACGUCUCAGCCGCACACUGACUGUCAAAAGGACUCUGAACAUCUGGGCAGCUGAUGGAUUUGCUGGUUCAUUUGAGUCAAGGCCAGAUGUUGGUCUCAUGUAGAUGUCGCUGAGACUUCAAGGUAGCUGUGGUGCAGAGACAUCAUCAGUGCCCAAAGUCAGUGCUGGCUUUCAGCCUAUUGUAAUCUAAGACACGCACACGCACACAGAGCGCAUAGGAUUGGAGAGAGGCACCACUCCAUGAAUGGUGAGUGCCUUUGUAGGCUUGAAUAGAGGAGGACACUUUAUAUGG